rnacentral:tRNA from 1 species
GGGGCGUUCAUUUGGGCGAGAAACAAUACUUGAAAUCUUGGUGGAGCAUUCUCGGACGGGAGUUCGACUCUCCCCGCCUCCACCA